rnacentral:rRNA from 1 species
GAUGAACGCUGGCGGCGUGCCUAAUACAUGCAAGUCGAGCGAACGGACGAGAAGCUUGCUUCUCUGAUGUUAGCGGCGGACGGGUGAGUAACACGUGGAUAACCUACCUAUAAGACUGGGAUAACUUCGGGAAACCGGAGCUAAUACCGGAUGAUAUUUUGAACCGCAUGGUUCAAAAGUGAAAGACGGUCUUGCUGUCACUUAUAGAUGGAUCCGCGCUGCAUUAGCUAGUUGGUAAGGUAACGGCUUACCAAGGCAACGAUGCAUAGCCGACCUGAGAGGGUGAUCGGCCACACUGGAACUGAGACACGGUCCAGACUCCUACGGGAGGCAGCAGUAGGGAAUCUUCCGCAAUGGGCGAAAGCCUGACGGAGCAACGCCGCGUGAGUGAUGAAGGUCUUCGGAUCGUAAAACUCUGUUAUUAGGGAAGAACAUAUGUGUAAGUAACUGUGCACAUCUUGACGGUACCUAAUCAGAAAGCCACGGCUAACUACGUGCCAGCAGCCGCGGUAAUACGUAGGUGGCAAGCGUUAUCCGGAAUUAUUGGGCGUAAAGCGCGCGUAGGCGGUUUUUUAAGUCUGAUGUGAAAGCCCACGGCUCAACCGUGGAGGGUCAUUGGAAACUGGAAAACUUGAGUGCAGAAGAGGAAAGUGGAAUUCCGUGCGUAGCGGUGAAAUGCGCAGAGAUAUGGAGGAACACCAGUGGCGAAGGCGACUUUCUGGUCUGUAACUGACGCUGAUGUGCGAAAGCGUGGGGAUCAAACAGGAUUAGAUACCCUGGUAGUCCACGCCGUAAACGAUGAGUGCUAAGUGUUAGGGGGUUUCCGCCCCUUAGUGCUGCAGCUAACGCAUUAAGCACUCCGCCUGGGGAGUACGACCGCAAGGUUGAAACUCAAAGGAAUUGACGGGGACCCGCACAAGCGGUGGAGCAUGUGGUUUAAUUCGAAGCAACGCGAAGAACCUUACCAAAUCUUGACAUCCUUUGACAACUCUAGAGAUAGAGCCUUCCCCUUCGGGGGACAAAGUGACAGGUGGUGCAUGGUUGUCGUCAGCUCGUGUCGUGAGAUGUUGGGUUAAGUCCCGCAACGAGCGCAACCCUUAAGCUUAGUUGCCAUCAUUAAGUUGGGCACUCUAAGUUGACUGCCGGUGACAAACCGGAGGAAGGUGGGGAUGACGUCAAAUCAUCAUGCCCCUUAUGAUUUGGGCUACACACGUGCUACAAUGGACAAUACAAAGGGCAGCGAAACCGCGAGGUCAAGCAAAUCCCAUAAAGUUGUUCUCAGUUCGGAUUGUAGUCUGCAACUCGACUACAUGAAGCUGGAAUCGCUAGUAAUCGUAGAUCAGCAUGCUACGGUGAAUACGUUCCCGGGUCU